UGGGUAAUAUUGGACAAUGGGCGAAAGCCUGAUCCAGCCAUGCCGCGUGUGUGAAGAAGGUCUUCGGAUUGUAAAGCACUUUAAGUUGGGAGGAAGGGCAGUAAGCGAAUACCUUGCUGUUUUGACGUUACCGACAGAAUAAGCACCGGCUAACUCUGUGCCAGCAGCCGCGGUAAUACAGAGGGUGCAAGCGUUAAUCGGAAUUACUGGGCGUAAAGCGCGCGUAGGUGGUUCGUUAAGUUGAAUGUGAAAGCCCCGGGCUCAACCUGGGAACUGCAUCCACAGCUGGCGAGCUAGAGUAGGGCAGAGGGUGGUGGAAUUUCCUGUGUAGCGGUGAAAUGCGUAGAUAUAGGAAGGAACACCAGUGGCGAAGGCGACCACCUGGGCUCAUACUGACACUAAGGUGCGAAAGCGUGGGGAGCAAACAGG
rnacentral:rRNA from 1 species